rnacentral:rRNA from 1 species
AUUGAACGCUGGCGGCAUGCCUUACACAUGCAAGUCGAACGGCAGCACGGGUGCUUGCACCUGGUGGCGAGUGGCGAACGGGUGAGUAAUACAUCGGAACAUGUCCUGUAGUGGGGGAUAGCCCGGCGAAAGCCGGAUUAAUACCGCAUACGAUCUACGGAUGAAAGCGGGGGACCUUCGGGCCUCGCGCUAUAGGGUUGGCCGAUGGCUGAUUAGCUAGUUGGUGGGGUAAAGGCCUACCAAGGCGACGAUCAGUAGCUGGUCUGAGAGGACGACCAGCCACACUGGGACUGAGACACGGCCCAGACUCCUACGGGAGGCAGCAGUGGGGAAUUUUGGACAAUGGGCGAAAGCCUGAUCCAGCAAUGCCGCGUGUGUGUAGAAGGCCUUCGGGUUGUAAAGCACUUUUGUCCGGAAAGAAAUCCUUGGCUCUAAUACAGUCGGGGGAUGACGGUACCGGAAGAAUAAGCACCGGCUAACUACGUG